GCAUCUCUAUGGUGAUACAUGCUGUCAUUUGCAGUGUACUAAACAUAUUUUAUGUUUCAUUUAACUUAAUAAAUAAUGAAAGACCGAGCGCCAGCGUUUCCCCCUUCACACAUUUUUUUGUACUCUUCUCACAAGGCUUCUUCUUCUUUCAGCUACUCCUUUUAGAGGUCGCCACAGCCAAUCAUCUGCCUUCUUGUCCCACCUUGUUCCUAGUAAUCCAAUCUUCAAUUCUGCCCCCUCCAGGAGGAAGUCUGAUCUUUAAGAGGAGAGUGUAAAAAAGAUAAAUAAUUACUGCUCUCAGAGGACUGCAAGUGUGCCAAGCAUCCGUGAGGGAGAGAGAGUAAGAUGGAGACGCACUCUGACAGCGGCAGAGCUCAGCUAGCAAACACUGCAACAAACUGUCAGCUAGAAGGAGAGAUGGGGAAGAGCGCAAUGAUGGACAGCAGACAUGUGGAUGCUGAAAAAUGAUUUUUUUUUUUCUGCAUGUGUGGUUUAUUGUGCUGUCUGUGUGUAAAGGCAAUGUUCUCCAUCAGUUCCUGGGGGAAUCCUUUUUUUUCCCAACUCCCAAAUGUUCACCACCCAUUUACUAAUUUGGUCUGUUUUCUGUGUUGCGCUGGGCAGGUAGUGUACAGUGAGUUCAUCAGAGAAUUUCUGUUAAAAACAACUGCCAUCUGCAGCUUUAAACGAGGCUGAUAGGGUUGGUGAGACUGAAGCAAAACAUAAAAAUAUAUUUAAAACAUAUUUAAUUAUCUGUUAUACAGAUAAUAUUGCAACACAAAAAUUAAUGAUUAGUGCAACUUUAAAGUAACAUACUUGAAAGCUGAUAUACUUAUAUAGUCACCAAACACUGGCCAA